rnacentral:lncRNA from 13 species
CGGAAGUGGUAUUAGUAGCAGAAGUGUGAGGAUAGCAGCUAUGACACAGCCACAAGAGCAAUUGCGGCCGAUGAUCCUGAAGCACCCGUUGGAUGUGAGACGGAGUGUCGCUCUGUUGCCCAGGCUGGAGUGCAAUAACUAUCCUGGCUCACUGCAACCUCCACCUCCCAGGUUCAAGUCGUUCUCCUGCCUCAGCCUCCUAAGUAGCUGGGACUAUAGGCAUGUGCCAUCAUGCCUGGUCAAUUUUUUUUUUUUUUGUAUUUUUAGUAGAGACGGGGUUUCACUGUGUUAGCCAGGAUGGUCUCGAUCUCCUGACCUCAUGAUCCGCCUGCCUCGGCCUCGCAAAGUGCCGGGAUUACAGGCGUGAGCCACCUGACUUUCUAAUCUGUAAAAUGGGAACAAGAAAUAGCAAUGGCUAUGCUAUUUAUUAUUACUAUUAUCACUGCAUGCACGAGAGCAUUGUGCUGGGUGCUCAGGAUUAGAUACAGCAGCAGCGGUGAGUAGGCUCCCUCACUUUCCUCUCAGAGCUGACAGAGUCAGGGAGACAGACCACAGCAGGGUAAAAAUGGUGGCAGACUGUGACAUCGUGAUAAUGGACAUAAACAGGGUGUGCUGGCUGAGGCUAACAAGGGGUGAGGAUUGGGGAGGGAGGUCUGCCUGUGAGGAAAGAGUAAUCAGGGCGGGCAUCCCUGAGGAGGUGUCCCUGAGCUGGAACCCUAAGGCUCUCCAGGAGGAGGGACCAGCCAGAGCAAAAACUUGAAGGAGGAGGGGUACUGGGUGAGUGUGAGAAGCAUGAUAGGGUGUGGGUGCCAAGGGGAGGCCUCCAGAGGUCAGGUUGCAGAGCCAAGUGGGAAAAUAGAACUUGGAAAUCAUAGAUUGUGCCCAAAGCAAUCACUGGGUCGAUCGAUCUUCCAAAUCGGAGGUGUUCCAGCUAACUUAAGAAACUCAUUCUCUACGCAGCAUCUGCCUGCCCUUGUAAAAAUGCAAAUAGGGUCCUGUUUACAUCAUUCCCCUGCGUAAACCCCUCCAGUGAUGACUUCUGCACUUCCAGUUUGACAAAGCUCCUCACCACAGUUCCCACUGCAGAGGAAAGAAGAGGCCACGAGCUUAACAGUGCGUCAUGAGCACAGACCUGCGGGGCCAGAUGGCCUGGCCUGGAAGACCCCAUUUCGCCAGCUCCCAUUGUGUGACCUCAGGCAAGUUACCUGGCCCCCAGGACCUCAGUUUCCUUGUCUAAAAGAUGGACAUAAUGACAAUCAUAUCCGCCUCCUAGGGUCAUUAUGAAGUUUAAA